rnacentral:rRNA from 1 species
UACGUAGGGUGCGAGCGUUAAUCGGAAUUACUGGGCGUAAAGUGUGCGCAGGCGGCCGCGCAAGUCGAGUGUGAAAGCCCCGGGCUUAACUUGGGAAUUGCGCUCGAAACUACGUGGCUGGAGUGUGGCAGAGGAAGGUGGAAUGCUUGGUGUAGAGGUGAAAUUCGUAGAUAUCAAGCGGAACACCGGUGGCGAAGGCGGCCUUCUGGACGACGACUGACGCUGAGACGCGAAAGCGUGGGUAGCAAACAGG